rnacentral:rRNA from 1 species
UACGGAGGAGGCAAGCGUUAUCCGGAAUAAUUGGGCGUAAAGCGUCCGUAGGUGGCCCGGCAAGUCGGUUGUCAAAGACCUCAGCUCAACUGAGGAAAGGCAAGGGAAACUGCAAGGCUAGAGUGCGGUAGGGGUAGAGGGAAUUCCCAGUGUAGCGGUGAAAUGCGUAGAGAUUGGGAAGAACACCGGUGGCGAAAGCGCUCUACUGGGCCGCAACUGACACUCUUGGACGAAAGCUAGGGGAGCGAAUGGG